rnacentral:ribozyme from 1 species
AAGAUAAAAGCGAAAACAAAUAUACGAUUCCCUCUCUCUUCUAUUUCUUUCAUUCUUUUUGCUCAUCCUUCCUUUUCACUUUGACUAAAGCCCAUAAUGUGUAACACUUAUUACGAAGGAGGAGCCCAAGGGCUGCAUCUACGACAUGGAA